AUGUCACAUAUCAACAAAAUUUUCUGUGUGCUUAAAUAUUGGAAAUGUUAUCAAACAGAAAUAAAUGUUAGGCAACAAAAUACAAAUCAGUUACUUGAGGAGUUGCCAAAACUAUUUUCAGAGAUCUCUGCCUUUCAAGCUGUCCAGCAAAUUUUGCUAAGAAGACUUUGUUAAUUACCACGUUCAAGUGCAUAGGAGAAUUGAUGCAAGAAGCCGAGAACAGAGCCAGUCUUCCUAGAAUACUCCAAAAUGUCUCCAUACUUGAAAUUCAGAGAAAGCACAUCACAGAAUGGGAAUGAGAGUUUGAAGAAGGCAGAGAGUUAAAGGUUAUAUAUUUUUAUUUUUAAUUGGUCAUGAAACU
rnacentral:lncRNA from 1 species